GAAGCGAUCCCGCGAGGAGGAGCAAAUCUGAAAAAAGCGUCCCUAGUUCGGAUUGUAGGCUGAAACUCGCCUACAUGAAGCUGGAGUUGCUAGUAAUCGCGAAUCAGCAUGUCGCGGUGAAUACGUUCCCGGGCCUUGUACACACCGCCCGUCACACCAUGAGAGUUGGCAAUACCCAACGUACGUGAUCUAACCCGCAAGGGAGGAAGCGUCCUAAGGUAGGGUCAGCGAUUGGGGUGAAGUCGUAACAAGGUAUC
rnacentral:rRNA from 1 species